UACAGGGGGAUAACACUUAGAAAUAGGUGCUAAUACCGCAUAAGCGCACGGUUCCGCAUGGAACAGUGUGAAAAACUCCGGUGGUAUACGAUGGAUCCGCGUCUGAUUAGCCAGUUGGCGGGGUAACGGCCCACCAAAGCGACGAUCAGUAGCCGGCCAGAGAGGGUGAACGGCCACAUUGGGACUGAGACACGGCCCAAACUCCUACGGGAGGCAGCAGUGGGGAAUAUUGCACAAUGGGGGAAACCCUGAUGCAGCGACGCCGCGUGAGUGAAGAAGUAUUUCGGUACGUAAAGCUCUAUCAGCAGGGAAGAAAAAAAGUCCUUUGGACUUUGGACGGUACCUGACCAAGAAGCCCCGGCUAACUACGUGCCAGCAGCCGCGGUAAUACGUAGGGGGCAAGCGUUAUCCGGAUUUACUGGGUGUAAAGGGAGCGUAGACGGCAGCGCAAGUCUGGAGUGAAAUGCCGGGGCCCAACCCCGGAACUGCUUUGGAAACUGUGCAGCUGGAGUGCAGGAGAGGUAAGCGGAAUUCCUAGUGUAGCGGUGAAAUGCGUAGAUAUUAGGAGGAACACCAGUGGCGAAGGCGGCUUACUGGACUGUAACUGGCGUUGAGGCUCGAAAGCGUGGGGAGCAAACAGGAUUAGAUACCCUGGUAGUCCACGCCGUAAACGAUGAUUACUAGGUGUCGGGGGGCCAAGGCCCUUCGGUGCCGCCG
rnacentral:rRNA from 1 species